AGUAAUGACAUGACACCGCCGAGUCCGUAAUUUGGCCUUUAUGUGUCUCGCGCUCGUUCGAGCUGAAGUUGUCGACUUAUUCUGAUUCUAUAUACAUUUCUAUAUAUGUUCUAUACUAGCUGAUCCGACAGAAUUCGUAGUGAAUCAAUCGAUAAAUAAAAGACCUAAACUUUUGUAUAAAAUAAACUUAAAACAAACAAAAGGAAUCGGUCUGACGGGAGACACAUCAAAGGAAAAACAAAAUUGUUGUUUAUUUUAUUUAAAUCCGAGAAUUUUCAUAUUUAUCUACCUUUUAAACCUUCUCUGGACUUCCACAAAUAAUUCAAGACUAAAAUUAGCCAAAUCGGUCCAGCCGUUCUCGAGUUUUAGCGAGACUAACGAACAGCAAUUCAAACGGCCGUCUGGUGUAGUGGUAAGUGACAUGGUCACUACACAAGGGGGUCGCGGGUUCGAAUCCCGCCAAGGGAAGAUAUUUGUAUGAUAAAUAUAAAUGUCUUUUCCAGGGUUAUGGAUGUAUAUUAAAUAUAUGUAUGUGUAUAAUAAAAAUCUAACAUUUAUAUCCGUUAUCUGGUACCUGUAACACAAGUUCUUUACGAACUUAUCACGGGACCAGUUAACGUGGCGUGAUUGUUAGUAAAUAUUUAUUAUUUAUUUAUUUAUAGAUAUAUGUAUGACGGCGUUAACGAUAUUUAUGUUAUAUAGCACGUGCAAUAGGAGUGACUCACACAAGCCAGGCGCGCCGGCCGUGUCGUUCCACUCGUAAACAACAGCUGCAACAGAAGUGACUCAUAAGCCAGCUGCGCCGGCUAGUAUAAAAAGGCGGAACGUGCCUUGAAAUGAACAUUCGUUGGACUGCGUUUGCCUGGUGCACUUACUAUAUCCUUGUUACGUUGUGUGAUUCAGUGACUGUUGUACGUACUGGUUAAAGUUGGACAAGUGUUAAAGUGAAUUGUUAAGAUAACAUAUUGUUGAUUAAAUCAGAAAUCAAAGGUGACUUCGUUUAACUUGGUGUUCAACAAAAUAAUGUCUACCCUCAAGCCUACAUCAGAAGUGGGAUCAGGACUCUACUCUCACUGGCGUGACGUGUUUGAACAUGUUCGAAGUACAGCAAAAAAAAACAUGAUGCAGAUCAGAAUACUAGUAGUGGUACGCCACAAGAGCGUGAAUGCAGCAUACGUAAGUCGUGUAAUAACGUCUCUGUUACCUCGAUGGAAAAUCUGAGCCACGAAGAAAUCGUCACAUCUUACGUUCUGGCUCAUGUUGCCCAGUUUGACUGUCGACUUCAUCACAUGGCAUUUACUAACGGAAAUACAACACGUAACAAGCUAUUGCAAGAAAUUAAGGCAAGUGCAAAUCUCAAGUGAAACUUCGAUCGCAAUAAUGGAUCUGUCAUGACGAGUGGGUAGUUCCGACACGAAUCGUUUUUAAGCCAAUGACUACUGCUAGAGUUACAUGGCACUAGUACAGUAAACCAGGACAUGAGACUGUGAAUUGUCGCUGAAAUUUUAGAAUCUACUCGAUUCAAUACCAAUAACACUACACGUUCGAUGACUUCGGGCUCCAGCAAGCAAGCAAACAAGAAAGCAAGCAAGUUUCCGUGGGGAAGAAAAAUUGACACAUCUGAAGUCGUCGUGACCUGUAAGAUAAGACGUCCGGUGCGUUCGUGUCUGGCGAUGCGGCGGUGUUCGGGUUCCGCUGGCGGAUGCAGGUUUUUCCGGUGAAGUGCGUGCUUGUGCGUGCUUGACAAGUGUUCGCGGUUGGCUUCCUCAGUGUGGGAGUAACAUCGUGUAAGAGAGGUGGAACCCGUAAAAUUGUAGUUUGCGUGGUGGCUGGUAAGAUUUGUUGCGGUAAGAAGUUUGCAUGGUGGUAAAAUGUCUUGUGAGUCUGCACAGGUAGCCGGAGGUGAGACUUCCGCGGUCGCGGCCCACCCAGUCCGCGAGAACCGGGCAGAUCGCCUCGACGGUACGGAGGCCGGCUGACGGGUCCGCCAAACGACGAGACCACGCCUCCAGCAUGGACUGCCGAUAUUGGAGCCCCUGCGCUCCGGCUGCACUUGCGCUAGGGCGCGCCGCCUCGUAGGAGACUGUGAGGUGCUGUGGCAGGUCCAACCAGAGACGUCAACGUGUGUUCCAGAGCUUCAGUGUGUUACAGAUAAGUGGUUUUGGCUCCCCCUUUAUGUUCCAUUCAGGGUCAGAAUGUAGUCUUAUAAAACAAAGCCAUAGUAAUUUAUUCAAUGGUAAGCGGUUUCAUGAACAAGUCACCGUAGUCACCCUAGACACGUCCUUACGGAUCCAUCAGAUCCAAUAACUCUUGCAUUAGAUACCUUCAGCUCUAACACUAGGAGCAGGCUGAGGAACCCCAGUAAUCGUACUCGUCGAACUCGACAAAGAGGUCGACGUGCAACCUAACCCAUGCAUCAGCCCACUGAGUUUCUCGCCGGAUCUUCUCAGUGGGUUGCGAUUCCGAUCCGGUAGAUUCAUUCGCGAAGCGAUUGCUCUUGAAUUGUUAGGUCUCCUGCGGAGGCGCUCGGGCAGUUGUUAGCAAAUCCCACCCCUCUUGGCUGAGCCUUUGCUCGCCCACCCGUCCUGGUGAAGCGGGAAAGGCCUCCGGGCCACCAGUAAUCUUUCAAUCAUCUGCAGUUUUGGAAAACGAUAGGUAUAAGUUGAGACGUGUAAAUGGUUCUAGUGUACAAAGUUCUCCAUGAAAACUUACGCGAAGUACCUCGAGGCCCGUCAGGCCGAGUAGAAAUUUCUGAAAAUUAUAGUGACGAUGACGUGACGGCGUACACAGAUGGGUUAAGUAAUCUUGUUCAUGAAACUGAUCUUAAUGAUGACGACUCUAUCACUGACAAUAAAAGCGACAUUUUUGUCCGCAAAUAGCGAUACAGCAAACAUAGUCUGUGGGUAGUGAUACAAUGUCUGUAAGCUCAGGCACCUCAGGUGCAGGUGUUGGAAAUGUAGAAAACGAUGGUCGGUCUCGCACUAUUUCUGAAGAAAUUCCGUAUAAAUGUUCUGGUUUAAGAAAUGUUUUAACAAACGCUACCGUACAUGCAGAUUAAAAAAAAAAAAAGAAAAAAAAAGAGAAUUGUAUGUGGCUAGAGAGAUGUUAAUCCGGACUAGCAAAAAAAAAAAAGAGAAAAAAAAAAGAAA